AGUGAACGCUGGCGGCGUGCCUAAUACAUGCAAGUCGAACGGAGAGGCGCACGGGUGAGUAAUAUAUAGCUAAUCUGCCCCUUGCUGGAGGACAACAGUUAGAAAUGACUGCUAAUACUCCAUAGCAAGGGAUGAGACUAUAUCGUAUCAGCUAGUCGGUGGGGUAACGGCCUACCGAGGCUAUGACGGGUAACUGGUCUGAGAGGAUGAUCAGUCACGUUGUAACUGAGGCACGAUCCAAACACCGUCGGGAGGCGGCAGUAGGGUGUAUCGCGCAAGGGGGGAAACCCUGACGAAGCAACGGGGCGUGGAGGAGGACACUUUGCGGAGCGUAAACUCCUGUUGUUAGGGAAGCGGUACCUAACGAAUAAGCACCGGCUAACUCCGUGCCAGCAGCCGCGGUAAUUC
rnacentral:rRNA from 1 species